GGUGCUGACACCAAGAGCAGGGUGAUAACCCCUCCCACAGAUCGGCCACAAGACCUCAAUGACUGGCAUUUCUUCCUGAGACUCCAAACCCAAACUGGGUCUUAGGUUUGGGUUUUUGAAAACAUGCGCCUUUCACUACAAAAGCCCUUCUUCAGGAAUAGAAUGUGGUGGAGAAGCUCCCAGGUUGAUGAAGAAUGCUUGCAAACCCAACAGGAGCAUGGAUGGAGAUUGUGGCCUUUGGAGUCUGAAAAGCUACCUCCAAGUCCCACUGCUGCCACCUUCAAGUUGUGUGCCCCUACAUUGGGUAUGUAAGCUUCUCCGGACCUCAG